UCCGGUUUGUCACCGGCAGUCUCAUUAGAGUGCUCUUUCGUAGCAACUAAUGACAAGGGUUGCGCUCGUUGCGGGACUUAACCCAACAUCUCACGACACGAGCUGACGACAGCCAUGCAGCACCUGUGUUACGGCUCUCUUUCGAGCACACCUCGAUCUCUCGUGGCUUCCGUACAUGUCAAGGGUAGGUAAGGUUUUUCGCGUUGCAUCGAAUUAAUCCACAUCAUCCACCGCUUGUGCGGGUCCCCGUCAAUUCCUUUGAGUUUUAAUCUUGCGACCGUACUCCCCAGGCGGUCUACUUCACGCGUUAGCUGCGUUACCAAGUUAAUUAAAACCCGACAACUAGUAGACAUCGUUUAGGGCGUGGACUAC
rnacentral:misc_RNA from 1 species